AAUAGAUACCCUGGUAGUCCACGCCGUAAACGAUGAGUGCUAAGUGUUAGAGGGUUUCCGCCCUUUAGUGCUGCAGCUAACGCAUUAAGCACUCCGCCUGGGGAGUACGGCCGCAAGGCUGAAACUCAAAGGAAUUGACGGGGGCCCGCACAAGCGGUGGAGCAUGUGGUUUAAUUCGAAGCAACGCGAAGAACCUUACCAGGUCUUGACAUCCUCUGCCAACCCUAGAGAUAGGGCGUUCCCCUUCGGGGGACAGAGUGACAGGUGGUGCAUGGUUGUCGUCAGCUCGUGUCGUGAGAUGUUGGGUUAAGUCCCGCAACGAGCGCAACCCUUGAUCUUAGUUGCUAGCAUUUAGUUGGGCACUCUAAGGUGACUGCCGGUGACAAACCGGAGGAAGGUGGGGAUGACGUCAAAUCAUCAUGCCCCUUAUGACCUGGGCUACACACGUGCUACAAUGGAUGGUACAAAGAGCUGCGAACCCGCGAGGGUAAGCCAAUCUCAUAAAGCCAUUCUCAGUUCGGAUUGUAGG
rnacentral:rRNA from 1 species